AACCCUACGUUCCCGUGGCAGUGGCGUGGCUGUGGCUGGCUAAGGCUCUGGCUGGGACACUUGGCAGCUGUCUCUGCUCCUUCCAGAUGGGCACAGCCCCUCCCAAGUCACUGCAUGCCCAGAGUGGAAGUUGAAGGGGCUGUGGCAGGAGCUCUGCUAGGGCACCUGUGUGAUCUGGCCCUGAGUGUUAGCUAGUCGAGCUGCCUGGAACAGCAGGGUUACCAAAGCUGGUUUGUCUUGGGAAACGUGCUGACACCCAAGUUCUGGCACUUGGGAGGAGCCCCCUUGCCUUUGGGUGGAGCCCCCUGGAGGAGACUGGCAGAAGUGCUGGAGGAGCAGAGGCUAAACCUUGCUCAGCUGUCAUGUGUCUCUGCUGUCACAGUGCUUCCCAACCGUUUUGACAGUAUUGCCCUCCUCUCCCAUCAGCCCAGCCAUUUAGAAAACGUUUCUCCUAUUGUUUCCAUACAUGAACAGCGUAUAUGUUUAUAUACUGUACUU